CGGGAGUUGGAUGCACGCGCGAGGCCGCUGUGACGCGGAGUCACUCCGGCGCGCUCCCUUGAAGUUGGCUGAGCGAGCGUCCAUUUUCGUACGUCGGGACCGACCUAGGAAGAAGAAGAAGAAGAAGCAGCGAGACACGUGUAGUCAGUCAUCUCCGUGCUUGGGCACCCUUGGCGCUGCAUCGUGCACUCUCAUUCAUUGCCAUUGCCCGCGCGCGACGUGUGUCCACGGUGACGAGCUUUGCAAUUGGCCUACGUGUUGCUCAACUUACCUCACUACGUAUAUUUGGAGGAGUCACGUCAUGCUAUGUGGCGUGACGUCGGAAGUCGAGCGAGCAUUGAAAGUCACGUGCACGUGCUUCUGCUGUAUUGUUUGUGUCUCUUGCAAAAGCACAUUCACUCAGCAUGCCCGUCUGAGCCAACCAACUCCUUUCCAGUCCUCGGGCUCCCCAACAAUUAGUUUGUUAUUUAUUGAUCAUGUGAUUCUGGUUCGGAACUUCAACUCUUGUUGUUUUCAAUUCCGUCUUUUGUUUGACGCUUCUUGUCCUUCUUUGAACAUGAAAAUCACAAUUGUUGUGUUGAAAGAACUUUUUAUGUAGAAUUCUUAAGAUGAGCAAUAGCGUCAGCGCCAAUAUUGAAAAGAAAUAAGUUGACGACAGAAA